rnacentral:rRNA from 1 species
UACGGAGGGGGCUAGCGUUGUUCGGAAUUACUGGGCGUAAAGCGUGCGCAGGCGGUGAUGUAAGACAGUUGUGAAAUCCCCGGGCUCAACCUGGGAACUGCAUCUGUGACUGCAUCGCUGGAGUGCGGCAGAGGGGGAUGGAAUUCCGCGUGUAGCAGUGAAAUGCGUAGAUAUGCGGAGGAACACCGAUGGCGAAGGCAAUCCCCUGGGCCUGCACUGACGCUCAUGCACGAAAGCUAGGGGAGCAAACAGG